CCUACGGGAGACAGCAGUGAGGAAUAUUGGUCAAUGGCCGAGAGGCUGAACCAGCCAAGUCGCGUGAGGGAAGACGGCCCUACGGGUUGUAAACCUCUUUUGACGGGGAGCAAAGCGAACCACGUGUGGUUCAUUGAGAGUAUCCGAAGAAAAAGCAUCGGCAAACACCGUGCCAGCCGCCGCGGUAAUACUGAGGAUGCGAGGGUUAUCCGGAUUUAUUGGGGUAAAGGGGUCCGAGGGCGGAGGUGCAAGUCAGCGCGCAAAUUGCGGGGCUCAACCCCGGACUGCCGUUGAAACUGCAUCGCUUGAGUGCGCGAGAGGUAUGCGGAAUGCGUGGUGUAGCGGUGAAAUGCAUAGAUAUCACGCAGAAC
rnacentral:rRNA from 1 species